UACGGAGGGUGCAAGCGUUAUCUGGAUUCACUGGGUUUAAAGGGUGCGUAGGAGGGCAGGUAAGUCAGUGGUGAAAUCUUCGAGCUUAACUCGGAAACUGCCGUUGAUACUAUCUGUCUUGAAUACCGUGGAGGUGAGCGGAAUAUGUCAUGUAGCGGUGAAAUGCUUAGAUAUGACAUAGAACACCAAUUGCGAAGGCAGCUCGCUACACGAAUAUUGACUCUGAGGCACGAAAGCGUGGGGAUCAAACAGG
rnacentral:rRNA from 1 species